UUAAUCCUGAUGUGUUCGUCUAUUAAAAGUGUUUUGACCGAACAACUGUAUACUUGGGAGCUUGAAUGGGUUUUUAUGUUGCGUGCAAGCCUCAGCUUGCUUGAGGAAGCAUAACAUACAUAAAACAAAGCACCCACCUGCCUGGAGCGGGAUCAAAACUUAAAAUUAGACGGCAUAAUUGGGAUUAAU
rnacentral:other from 1 species